GUACUAAGGUAGCACAAUAACUAGCCUCAUAAUUAGAGGAUCGCAUGAAAGAAAUAACGAGCUAACUAUAUCUCAUCAAUCAUAAAAUCAAACUAAUAAUAAAGUAAAAAAUCUUUAUAUUAAAAGAAAGACGAAAAGACCCUAUCGAACUUAACAUGUAUGUUAGGCUGGGGCAGCCAAACAAAUAAACCUUAAAUGUAACAUAAAAAUUAAACUAUCAAAGAUAAAAUAAAUACAAGUUACCGUAGGGAUAACAGCAUAAUUAAUUACGGGAGAACUUAUCCAAUAAAUACAUUAUGACCUCGAUGUUGAAUUAUCUCAAUUAAAUAGGAAAAUCUAUUUAAAGCAGGUCUGUUCGACCUUAACAAGAUACAUGAU
rnacentral:rRNA from 1 species